rnacentral:misc_RNA from 1 species
CCCCCCCCCCCCCCCCCUCUUUUCUUGUCCGUGCUUACAUUUAUUACUUGUCCAUCUUCAACUGAGAGGGAUUUUUCUCAGGAAAAUUUGUUUAUGCCUUGUGGGAGAGAAACAAACAGAACUAACUCAUCAUAAAUAUAUGUUGUUUCCCUAAAAUUUGAAUUUUAUUUGCACAUAUAAAGUUACACUGUCCUCGUUAAUUUACAAACCUUCAGAACUCUACAUUAUGUGGACAGUGUAAUUUUUUUAUGUUCUUGGUGUA